GUCCAUGCCUUAAACGAUGCAUACUAGGUGUAGGAUGGAUCAACCCCCUCUGUACCGGAGCUAACGCAUUAAGUAUGCCGCCUGGGGAGUACGCUCGCAAGGGUGAAACUCAAAAGAAUUGACGGGGGCCCGCACAAGCAGUGGAGCAUGUGGUUUAAUUCGAUGCAACGCGAAGAACCUUACCUGGGCUCGAAAUGUAGAGGGCGACAACAGAGAUGUUGUUUCCCGAAAGGGCCUCUAUAUAGGUGCUGCAUGGCUGUCGU
rnacentral:rRNA from 1 species